rnacentral:rRNA from 1 species
GGGAGGCAGCAGUGGGGAAUAUUGGACAAUGGGCGAAAGCCUGAUCCAGCAAUGCCGCGUGAGUGAUGAAGGCCUUAGGGUUGUAAAGCUCUUUUACCAGGGAUGAUAAUGACAGUACCUGGAGAAUAAGCUCCGGCUAACUCCGUGCCAGCAGCCGCGGUAAUACGGAGGGAGCUAGCGUUGUUCGGAAUUACUGGGCGUAAAGCGCACGUAGGCGGCGACUCAAGUCAGAGGUGAAAGCCCGGGGCUCAACCCCGGAACUGCCUUUGAAACUAGGUUGCUAGAAUCUUGGAGAGGUCAGUGGAAUUCCGAGUGUAGAGGUGAAAUUCGUAGAUAUUCGGAAGAACACCAGUGGCGAAGGCGACUGACUGGACAAGUAUUGACGCUGAGGUGCGAAAGCGUGGGGAGCAAACAGGAUUAGAUACCCCGGUAGC